UACGUAGGGGCCAAGCGUUACCCGGAUUUACUGGGCGUAAAGCGCGUGUAGGCGGAAGCGAAAGUCCGGUGUGAAAGCCCCCCGCUCAACGGGGGAAGGUCGCUGGAAACUGCGCUUCUUGAGGGCGGCAGAGGGAAGUGGAAUUGCUGGUGUAGCGGUGAAAUGCGUAGAGAUCAGCAGGAACACCCGUGGCGAAGGCGGCUUCCUGGGCCGCGCCUGACGCUGAGACGCGAAAGCGUGGGGAGCGAACGGG
rnacentral:rRNA from 1 species